rnacentral:lncRNA from 1 species
UGACUCGAAGAUCGAGCACGAUGAGGCUGGCUGCACUGGUACUCUUGCUCCUGGGGUCUUCAAAUGGGGUGGUGACCCAGGUGUCCCUUCAAGAAGCAGAGGAGGAAGAUCAAGGCAGUGGCGUGGAGUCGGAUCCAGAGGUUCUGGCUGAUAUCUACUGGUCAGGGACUGCUCCUGUGUGUGUCGGAGGAUGUAAGGGGAGACACCGUGAGCUGAAGAAGGAUCGCUGUGGCAACUCCGACUGCUGCUGGUUUGGAUAUAAAUCCUUGUGUCGAGUGAACUGUGGGCAGCCUGAUGUGGAUGUGAAUGGAGUUGUCUAUGGGAAUGACUGGUGGGUCGACUCAGUGGUGCGCUAUGCCUGCCGACCUGGCUUCAUGCUCAUCGGUGACCCCGCGAGAGCGUGCCAGUCGAAUGGGAGGUGGACGGCCAAACCUUCCUGCCUCAGUAAGCCAAACAUCUAA